UACAGAGACUGCAAGCGUUAUUCGGAUUCACUGGGCGUAAAGGGUGCGCAGGCGGCCAAGUGUGUGAGGCGUGAAAGCCCGGGGCUUAACCCCGGAAUUGCACCUCAAACUACAUGGCUAGAGCAUUGGAGAGGGUAACAGAAUUCAUGGUGUAGCAGUGAAAUGCGUAGAUAUCAUGAGGAAUACCAGAGGCGAAGGCGGCUACCUGGACAAGCACUGACACUCAACUGCGAAAGCGUGGGGAACAAACAGG
rnacentral:rRNA from 1 species